rnacentral:rRNA from 1 species
GGUGAGUAACACGUGGAUAACCUACCUAUAAGACUGGGAUAACUUCGGGAAACCGGAGCUAAUACCGGAUAAUAUUUUGAACCGCAUGGUUCAAAAGUGAAAGACGGUCUUGCUGUCACUUAUAGAUGAAUCCGCGCUGCAUUAGCUAGUUGGUAAGGUAACGGCUUACCAAGGCAACGAUGCAUAGCCGACCUGAGAGGGUGAUCGGCCACACUGGAACUGAGACACGGUCCAG